rnacentral:rRNA from 1 species
CCCGCUCAGAAACUUAAAGGAAGUUGACGGGGGCCCGCACAAGCGGUGGAGUAUGUGGUUUAAUUCGAUGCAACGCGAAGAACCUUACCAGGACUUGACAUCUCUGGAAUCUCCUUGAAAGGGGAGAGUGCCGUAAGGAACCAGAAGACAGGUGCUGCAUGGCUGUCGUCAGCUCGUGUCGUGAGAUGUUGGGUUAAGUCCCGCAACGAGCGCAACCCUCGUCGUUAGUUGCCAUCAUUAAGUUGGGAACUCUAGCGAGACUGCCGGUGGCAAACCGGAGGAAGGUGAGGAUGACGUCAAGUCAGCAUGGCCCUUACGUCCUGGGCGACACACGUACUACAAUGCGAGGGACAGAGAGCAGCCAACCCGCGAGGGAGAGCGAACCUCUUAAACCCUGGCACAGUUCAGAUUGCAGGCUGCAACUCGCCUGCAUGAAGGAGGAAUCGCUAGUAAUCGCAGGUCAGCAUACUGCGGUGAAUCCGUUCCCGGGCCUU